rnacentral:lncRNA from 1 species
CAUUAGGUUGUUUUAGAUCCUUACACAUUGGCCUUUACGACACCUAAUAUUAGCUCUCUGAUAUUUUGGACAAUCUUUAUCUGUUUUACAUUCACUAAAAAUAAUCUGACUCAAAGGAGAGUUAGUGAAAAGAAAUAUAGAAAGAAAUAAAAGUAUAACAUAAACUAACUUCUGAGUUUCAACCAUAUUUUUUCCUAUUUGCAUCCAAAUAAUAAUAAAUGACUUGAUCUCUUUAUAGUGUAUAGUAAAGUUCAUGGUCUUAUAGAAAUAAUUAAAUAGUUUAAGCAUUAUAAAAUUUUAAAAGCUCUUCUGAAUUUUAUAAUCAUUACUAAAUGUCACUUAAAUAUAUCAAUGUGUUAUUUUUGUCCCUUUAGUACACUUAGGAUGUACUUCAUGUCAUAAAAAUAAUAAUCAAUAUAAUUGAAUACAAUUUUACAAACUUUAUAUUACUUUUUCCUGUAAAUAAUUGUAUUAUUUUUUUAACCUUUCGUGAGGGUAAAGAGGAAAACAAGUAUACCAUCGUAAAGUUAUGUACAAAUAUAAGGCACAAUUUAAUAUUUAUGAACAAGUAGAAUGUAUGUUAUGUUAAUUACUAAUGAAGUUACGCCUCACAUAAUAUGACCAAUCAUAUAUUAAAAAAGCAACCUAUUGAAGGAACAUUGCCUCACCACAUUAACAAAAAUAUGUUAUAAAAAGUUUUUCCUAUACUAUUAUGAAUGGCCAAAUGAAUUAUAAAGAAGUUUUUUAGCAAUCACAAACAUACUCCACCUUGUUGUAAGCAAAUUGAUAACCGGUAAAUAAAUUGAUUAUCAGGUUGCACUUUACUCUUAUAGUGGACAAGUAAUUGAGUGAUUGCAUUGUCUUUAACAUCUAAUCUAUGCUUAGUUUAGGAUUUUAAAGUUUUAAGUGUUUUUAGUACUUUGGAACAAGUAUAAUUAUACACAAGUACAUUUUCAACAUCAUCACAUAUUCAUCAAAUUUUACCAAGCAUGUAAUUCAUCACGUUCACCAAUGCACAUAAAUCACCAAGGUUCAUCAAGCACAUAAAUAAAUACGACACAUUUAAUCAAUUAUCAAAUGUAUGUAAUGCGCCUAAACACGACUUUAUAUGCAUGCGCUACCGGUUGUCGUCAUUUGAAUACAAAGUAUUAUUUUCGUCCUCGUUAGAUAUAAUAUCCUAGUCGUCUUCAUUGGAUGUAAAUAUCCUACUUAUGAAUAUAUGAACAUAUGACUCAACAAUGCAUACGCUCAACAAAAAAUCGUCAUCAUUUUUGUAACACUCCGUUUUCCCAAC